GUCCGAGAGCAAGUUCCACGAAAACAAGGAUUGAAAC
rnacentral:other from 1 species